UGCAAGUCGAACGGCAGCGCGGGAGCAAUCCUGGCGGCGAGUGGCGAACGGGUGAGUAAUACAUCGGAACGUGCCCAAUCGUGGGGAUAACGCAGCGAAAGCUGUGCUAAUACCGCAUACGAUCUACGGAUGAAAGCAGGGGACCGCAAGGCCUUGCGCGAAUGGAGCGGCCGAUGGCAGAUUAGGUAGUUGGUGGGGUAAAGGCUCACCAAGCCUUCGAUCUGUAGCUGGUCUGAGAGGACGACCAGCCACACUGGGACUGAGACACGGCCCAGACUCCUACGGGAGGCAGCAGUGGGGAAUUUUGGACAAUGGGCGCAAGCCUGAUCCAGCCAUGCCGCGUGCAGGAUGAAGGCCUUCGGGUUGUAAACUGCUUUUGUACGGAACGAAACGGCUCUUUCUAAUAAAGAGGGCUAAUGACGGUACCGUAAGAAUAAGCACCGGCUAACUACGUGCCAGCAGCCGCGGUAAUACGUAGGGUGCAAGCGUUAAUCGGAAUUACUGGGCGUAAAGCGUGCGCAGGCGGUAAUGUAAGACAGUUGUGAAAUCCCCGGGCUCAACCUGGGAACUGCAUCUGUGACUGCAUUGCUGGAGUACGGCAGAGGGGGAUGGAAUUCCGCGUGUAGCAGUGAAAUGCGUAGAUAUGCGGAGGAACACCGAUGGCGAAGGCAAUCCCCUGGGCCUGUACUGACGCUCAUGCACGAAAGCGUGGGGAGCAAACAGGAUUAGAUAC
rnacentral:rRNA from 1 species